rnacentral:rRNA from 1 species
AACGAACGCUGGCGGCGUGCUUAAUACAUGCAAGUCGAACGAGAAAACCCGGCUUCGGUUGGGUGAGUAAAGUGGCGAACGGGUGAGUAACACGUGGACAACCUGCCCUUAAAUCUGGGAUAAUCUCUCGAAAGGGGGUCUAAUACCGGAUAACACCGUCUGGGGACAUCCUCGGACGGUCAAAGGUGGGGCAACCUGCCGUUUAGGGAUGGGUCCGCGCUCCAUUAGCUUGUUGGUGAGGUAACGGCUCACCAAGGCUACGAUGGAUAGCCGACCUGAGAGGGUGAUCGGCCACACUGGGACUGAGAUACGGCCCAGACUCCUACGGGAGGCAGCAGUAGGGAAUAUUGCGCAAUGGACGAAAGUCUGACGCAGCAACGCCGCGUGGGUGAUGGAGCUCUUUGGAGUGUAAAACCCUGUCAGUGGGGAAGAACCGUACCGGGAGUAACUGCCCGGUACCUGACGGUACCCACAGAGGAAGCACCGGCUAACUCCGUGCCAGCCGCCGCGGUAACAC